rnacentral:lncRNA from 1 species
CCAUGGAUACUGAUUGAGUAGAAUUUACUCCUAGGUAAAUGAUUUUUCCCCCCCAAAAUUGAACCCAAUGCUGCAAAUCACCCUUGUUCUUUGGGAGUAACACUGAAUCUGGUAAGAUUUUACUCUGAGUAGACCUUCUACUCUUUAUCUGCAGAGGAAACACUGGCUUCCUGUAGCAACUAGAUCAAGAGUGUAGAAUUAGGAUCUAGGCUUUGUUAGUAGAGGUGUCCCUUUUCUGAGCUCAGGAAGUCGUGAUGCAAGGAAAGGGUUGGGUUUGAGGUUUGGAAACCUUUUGUAAAGGCAGCCACUGUUUCAUUUCCACAUCAGCAGUGACGGUUGGCGGAGUGUGGAGGUGCCCAAGCCAAAUUGGAAAUGCUUGUCAAACCCAUUGGGAGGAUCUUUGUGGCUCUUGGUGUAAUCCUCUUUCUAGGAUGCCCAGGACAAGGAGCUCCUCAAAAAGGCCGGUACAUAUCGCUCCGAUGUAAACCCGAUGCCAACUGCAUUGAAGAAAAGGGGCCAAGUUUUGUCAUGACAGAUGAGAAUGCGAAGAUCCCCUUUGAGACAAACCCCACACGAGAGAUACUUCAAGACCAACCCAGUCCUUUGCCAUUUUCUGGAGAUGAAGAAGGAUCUGGCAAUGAAGUUGAUCCCGAGACAGGAUCGGGCGCUGAGUCUGAUAUGGAAGAGCCCGAUGCGUCUGACUUUGUGAACCAACCAAAUAUGAACCUGAAAUUUAAGCUUUCAGAUGAAGGCUUAUUUCCCCAUGAAAAUGUACUGUGAUUUCUGUUAUGGCUUAAUGUGAUAUUUCUUUUUACUUAUCAUAGGUUUUGAUGAAAUGUAUACCCUAGACCAGGCAUAUAUGUUAUAAAAAUAUUAUAGCUAACCAUGUAUGUCUUAAAAUGUUUAGUGCUUUUCUUUGAUAAAAUCUAUUAUUUCUAAGCUAAAAAACAGAAGCAAACAAAGCAAGUUAAACAAAUUUCAGCCACUUGAUAAGCAUUUUCUUAUGUCUGCAAUUAUUCAGCUAUCUUUCUAUUAAAAUCUAAUGCAACUAUGGACUCAUAUUCAUUUCUUAAAUAUUAUUUAUUAAUCAGAUGUAUUAUCCCACCUCAAUUAUAAAAAGACUCUCAACGGCCAAUUAAUAAUUAUUACUACUCUAUUGCUUUGCAUGUACACUGAAAGCUUCUGCAUCAUAGACAAAUUCCUUGUGUGCCUAAUCACAUUUGGCCAAAUAAAGUAUUCUGUUCCAUUCCAUUCUAAG